ACAGUUUAUGCCGCAUGGCAUAAGAGUGAAAGGCGCUUUCGGGUGUCGCUGAUGGAUGGACCCGCGGUGCAUUAGCUAGUUGGUGAGGUAACGGCUCACCAAGGCCACGAUGCAUAGCCGACCUGAGAGGGUGAUCGGCCACACUGGGACUGAGACACGGCCCAGACUCCUACGGGAGGCAGCAGUAGGGAAUCUUCGGCAAUGGACGAAAGUCUGACCGAGCAACGCCGCGUGAGUGAAGAAGGUUUUCGGAUCGUAAAACUCUGUUGUUAGAGAAGAACAAGGACGUUAGUAACUGAACGUCCCCUGACGGUAUCUAACCAGAAAGCCACGGCUAACUACGUGCCAGCAGCCGCGGUAAUACGUAGGUGGCAAGCGUUGUCCGGAUUUAUUGGGCGUAAAGCGAGCGCAGGCGGUUUCUUAAGUCUGAUGUGAAAGCCC
rnacentral:rRNA from 1 species